rnacentral:sRNA from 1 species
CAUUUUCACGGCAAACGAAGACGAGUGAUGUGA